ACAUGAAAGAGCAGGAGCGUCCUCGUUAAUCUGCCGGGUGUCAGGCGAACACGACAGGCUGCAUGCCAUCAAAGAGCGUAAUCAAAUACACGUCGACAGCCUGUGUGUGCCAUCAGCCGGACAACUCCCGAACCUCAGCACGAAUAGCAACUACACAAGAGUGUCCUCCAUCUCUCCGCUUUCCCUCAUUUUCUCUAACUAAGGACAUUGUCACUACCAGAGCCUGCUGCAGUUGCUCCUCCGUCUGUAAUCCUUGUUAUCUCUGCAGAGCUUUUGGAGAGUGAAGCAGCUCCGAGCUGACCUUAUAAAGACUCCUCCUGACCAGACCACACCUCUGUCCCUGAGUCCAUGGAAGCCAAGGCCAAGUCUGGGGCCCCGGCACCCAAGGCUGCAUCUAAAGCUGAAAAGAAGGAGCCGGCAGCCCCACGCAAGAGUGACCCUGCCCCUGUAGCUCCUGAGCCCGAGCAGCCUCCUCCCCAUGAUGGGGCAGCAGAAACGGAAGCAGCAGGUGAUGAGGCUGCGGCCUCUGGCACAGACUCUCUGGAACAUCUGAAGCCGUUCCUCAUUGGUGGUGCUGUUAUUGCUGCAGGAGCCAUCUUGCUGGGAGUGUUGCUACUGGCGAGGAGAAAUUAAAACCAAGUCAUUAUCUCAAUUGAAAGUAUUUAUUGGUUAAUCAGCUGGAGCGCUAUUGCUAAGUGGUUCACAGACUAUGAUACCUGGGGGAUGGGGUGCCACUGUGCAUCUAUUUUUUGUUCUAUUUUUUCAGCCUGCUUCCACUAGUAGUGAAUCAAACCAUUUAAGUUUGGAUCAAAGCUGUAUAUGGAGCAAACUACAAAUAGAAUAUGCAUGAAGUUACUUCAAUACCGCAUCUGAACUGUAAUAACCUAUUUCUUAAAAAAUGUACCACACUUUAGUGCUGAGCUUUAAACCGUAGACUCUAAAUCUAGCUCCCUCAACUGCUUUAUCUUUCUUUAAUCUAGUUUGCACAAAUGUUGACAAAAGCUUGCAAUAUUUGUACAUUCCUGCACUGGAAAUGAGAUUGGUUCACUUUACUAAAAGAUGAUAAAAAAAACUGUUUUCAUAAUGUUGAAAUUAUGGAUAAUAGUGCUGGCUAUCAGAGCUGUCCUAGUUUUUUUUUACUUCUGUAUUAAACAAUUGAAAGAAUAGAAGUCAGUACAGCGGGGAAUAUGCAUUGUGAUGCAUCGCACAUAUUGUGGAAAAUUCCAUGCCAUCCCUGCAUAUUCGGAAAAAAAAUCAAAAUUGAUUGCUACAGUGAAAUUUCAAAAAUCAACUUUUCCAGAGAUAGAAAAGAUGAGCAUGCAAUGAUUAAGAAAGGAUGUUUGGGAAUGUUGGAGAAAAGUAUACAUAGUAGGUUGCAGAGAACAAUAGUACUGUUACGUCUUGCUGUAGACUAAGAAAGAGUUUGUUUUUACUGUUAAAAAAUGUCACAAAUCAAUAACCUUUCAUGUCUUACACAAAAGCCACCAUCAUGCUGGUUCAACUGGUUUGCUACUUACAGUAAAUAUAGCUGGAGCAGGCUAACCAGACAUCAGUGUUUCAAUUUCGCUGCUGCAUACACUUACCUGUACAGAUGUACACAAUGUUCUUCACUCACAUUCAAGGGUCAUUGGGGUGUUCCUGUUGCAUCAGUAGAUAGCAGAUAGACAAUUGUGAUUCACAUCAUCACUUGAUAUAAGUUGUGAGGGGGAAUAUGCAUUGCAGAACUUGUUCCUCGUUAAAAACUAUUUUGUACACAUACCACAUUUACCACAGUUAACAACCUAAACCCAUACAAAAUAUAGUAUGCCAACACCAAAACAAACUUCACCUGACAUUGUACGAUACAGUGUACCAAAAAAAAGAAAGAUACUAUUUUCAUAAUUUCAACAGCGUAUAAAUGCAAUAAUUCAGAUAGGACUCCUCAUUUAGCAUAUGUGCUGUAGCAAGUUAAAUUAUAUACAAGAGGAUUUACCAAUAUAUUGGAAGAUGAUGAUGUAAGAAAUGGCAAUUAUGGCGAGAUAGCAUGAUGCGUAUGAUGGUAAUACCAUGAGUCACCAUGAGGUCUCAUGGUGACCGUACUGAAAAUAAUGAUGGUUAUGAUAUAUUUUUGAUAUAUUUGUCACGUUUUUCUUCUGCACACUCCCCUAUGCCCCAAUCUCCAAAUGUAAAAAUGAGAAAGGAUGAUAUCUAACCUUUAUUAAAGUCAGUGAACCAGU